UUGAAAAAAAUCAGAAAACAGCCGUAUACUUGCUGAAUGCGCACAAAAACAGACACAAAUCCCCGGGCCCCCCGGGCCAUCAAACCCCCGGGCCAUCAAACUGUACAACUCCUCACUGGGGGGGAGGAGGGCAAACAAGCAAACAAAAAAUAAAAAAAACGUGCUGUGUAUGGAUGCUGGAGCUGUUAAUUUCCCCGAGGGAACCUCCCAAAGGGAUUAAUAAAGUCGUCUGUCUGUC